GACGUAGGGGGCGAGCGUUGUCCGGAAUUACUGGGCGUAAAGGGCGUGUAGGCGGCCUUUAAAGUCAGCUGUGAAAUCCCUUGGCUUAACUGAGGGCUUGCAGUUGAAACUUAAAGGCUUGAGUGCAGGAGAGGAAGGUGGAAUUCCCAGUGUAGCGGUGAAAUGCGUAGAUAUUGGGAGGAACACCGGUGGCGAAGGCGGCCUUCUGGCCUGUAACUGACGCUGAGGCGCGAAAGCUAGGGGAGCAAACAGG
rnacentral:rRNA from 1 species